UACGUAGGGCGCAAGCGUUGUCCGGAAUUAUUGGGCGUAAAGAGCUCGUAGGCGGUUUGUCGCGUCUGCUGUGAAAACCUAAGGCUCAACCUUGGGCUUGCAGUGGGUACGGGCAGACUAGAGUGCGGUAGGGGUGACUGGAAUUCCUGGUGUAGCGGUGGAAUGCGCAGAUAUCAGGAGGGACACCGAUGGCGAAGGCAGCUCGCUGGGACGGUACUGACGCUGAGGCGCGAAAGCGUGGGGAGCAAACAGG
rnacentral:rRNA from 1 species